GCCACACAUUUGGCAUCUACUAUAGAACCAUAUUCUUUUUAAAAGCUAUAAAAAUCUAUGCCAAGGAAACAUACCUCAGACUUAGGGCCCAAGCAGGAGAGGCAAGCAUGGGAGUGAAAAAAGGGAAUGGGCUAUUCCCCAAGCUGCACACUGUCACUGGAUCUUCACAGAGGCAGGCUCGAUGGGCACUCUGCUCUGGAAUCCUACCCAGGAGAGAUCUGGAGGACUUUACAUCAGAAAUGGAAUAUUCUAAGCCGGAAGUGAAAAGCAGCACUUACGUUCACAUCCCCAUUAGCCAUAACUAGUCAUAUGGCUUCACCCAGUCAUAAGUUGCCCAGGAAAUACAAAUCUACCAUGUACAAAAAAGGAAGAGAGCUAGAAAAUACUUCAUGAGAUCAGCACUCGGAUUGUGACACAUUUUCACAAAUUUCAUAGUGGAAAAAUGACACCUUGCCUUAUUUUGCAUUAAUACUGCAAGAAAC